CGUGUAGCCGGGCCGACAAGUCAGAUGUGAAAUCCACGGGCUUAACCCGUGAACUGCAUUUGAAACUGUUGGUCUUGAGUAUCGGAGAGGUAACCGGAAUUCCUAGUGUAGCGGUGAAAUGCGUAGAUAUUAGGAAGAACACCAGUGGCGAAGGCGGGUUACUGGACGACAACUGACGGUGAGGCGCGAAAGCGUGGGGAGCAAACA
rnacentral:rRNA from 1 species